AACGCGAAGAACCUUACCCAGGUUUGACAUACAGAGGACGGUAGCAGAAAUGUUACUUCCCGCAAGGGUCUCUGAACAGGUGCUGCAUGGCUGUCGUCAGCUCGUGCCGUGAGGUGUUGGGUUAAGUCCCGCAACGAGCGCAACCCUUAUCAUUAGUUGCCAACACGCGAGGUGGGGACUCUAAUGAGACUGCCUAGGUUAACUAGGAGGAAGGUGAGGAUGACGUCAAGUCCGCAUGGCCUUUAUAUCUGGGGCUACACACGUGCUACAAUGGUCGGUACAGAAGGCAGCGAAAUCGCAAGAUGAAGCAAAUCCCAAAAGCCGAUCUCAGUUCGGAUUGUAGUCUGCAACUCGACUACAUGAAGUCGGAAUUGCUAGUAAUGGCGGGUCAGCAACACCGCCGUGAAUACGUUCCCGGGCCUUGUA
rnacentral:rRNA from 1 species